AUUGAACGCUGGCGGCAGGCCUAACACAUGCAAGUCGAGCGGAUGAAGGGAGCUUGCUCCUGGAUUCAGCGGCGGACGGGUGAGUAAUGCCUAGGAAUCUGCCUGGUAGUGGGGGAUAACGUCCGGAAACGGGCGCUAAUACCGCAUACGUCCUGAGGGAGAAAGUGGGGGAUCUUCGGACCUCACGCUAUCAGAUGAGCCUAGGUCGGAUUAGCUAGUUGGUGGGGUAAAGGCCUACCAAGGCGACGAUCCGUAACUGGUCUGAGAGGAUGAUCAGUCACACUGGAAUGGAGACACGGUCCAGACUCCUACGGGAGGCAGCAGUGGGGAAUAUUGGACAAUGGGCGAAAGCCUGAUCCAGCCAUGCCGCGUGUGUGAAGAAGGUCUUCGGAUUGUAAAGCACUUUAAGUUGGGAGGAAGGGCAGUAAGUUAAGACCUUGCUGUUUGGACGUGACCAACAGAAGAAGCACCGGCUAACUUCGU
rnacentral:rRNA from 1 species